UAAAACCCGAAUAACACAUAACUUGCCCACCCUUUCCACUCGUAUACUGUCAAUAAGCAAGUUUUGUGUAAUGCUUGACUGGGUAUCGAUGUUUAUAUGUGUGAUUUUAGGUUAGGAAGCGAUGGAGACAUUGUGCCGAGUGGGGUCAUGUGGUAACGCUUAUUCUCGGCCCUCCGCGCGUGCUGCCUCAGGGCUUGUGGGUGGCUGCUGACCGCUGCUGUUUGUGUUUUGGGGGAACUCGUGGCUCGUGGGUAGUUUGUCAUAGGUAGUGAUGGUGGAUUGACGUCGUGGUGAGGCGGAAUAGAAGAACGAAUUUAGAGUGUUUGAGAGUGUUGUCGUGUGUAGGGGAAGAGAAAGAGUGACAUAAAAGAUUGUGGAUAUAUUGUCAUUACUACUGUGAGGCGAAUUUUUUAUUGUUAUUAUCGUGGUGAGGCUGAAAAGGACCAGUUGAGUGUUUUCAUACGUAAUGGAUUGAUGGAUACGUAUUUGAGUGUCGUGUGUAGGAAAAAGAAAAGUUGACAAGACGGAGCAGUUAUUAUUAUUAUUAUUAUUAUUAUUAUUAUUAUUAUUGCUACUGAUAUGUGUCGGGCUGUGACAGUGAUCGAAAAAUAGGAAUGAAGACUUUCGUGUGUAUUCCACCGUGACAAAAACUAAAAAAAAGAAAGGAAACUAAAGGAAAACAAAAAAUCGUUAAAAAGGAAAAGAAAAACCAGAAAAUAAUAAUGAAAACACUCCAUUCUUCACAUCAGCAGGACAUUCCCACACUAAAGAAAAAAAAAAUAGUCGUGUCAAAAAAUUAAAAAGAAAAGGAAAAGAAAAAAACAAUAAACAAUGACAACACACUCCUUUCUCCACAUACUCAUGACAUUCCCACACUCAAGAAAAUAAAAAAAAUAAUCGUGUCAAGAAAAUAAGAAAGGAAAGAAAAGAAAAAGAAAAACAAUGCCAGCAAACUCCAUUCUCCACAUAAUCAGGACAUUCCCAAACCACCUUGCAUAACAGCGACGGAUCAAGCAGAAGACAACCUUUUUCUUCACUAAGUCCAAGAGUAACCAGAGUAAAGAAAAAAAGAGAGAUAAAGAAAUUGAGAAAAAAAAUUGAACGAGAUGAAUACGUGACUGAGACUGAACGGAGACUGAUACUGUUGUUGUUGGUUGUGGUGGUUGUGGUGGUGGUGAUAGUGGUGGUGACUGUGGUGGUGUUAUAUUCCUGGACACACGCGACUGAGCAACUCAACACCAAACCACCACACGUAUAAAGGAGGUUGCCGGAGUUGAUGGUGGUGAUGAGACUGGUGUUGCAAGCCUGUCUGCAGCAAAUCAACACCCACCACCACACGUAAAGGAGGUUCUCUUGUGUUGAUACUGGUGUUGCAACCCUAAGCUCAACACCCAAGACACGGAAGACACACACAACGCCGUCCUCAGUAGUGGAGUUGAGGUGGAGGUGACUGUGGUGGUGUUGAACGAGAGAAAAUGGUUGUAAAGUUUCCUCAAGGACCUGGAGGAAUGGAGGGGAAGGAGGGAAUAUAUCUCUCCCCUCUCAUGAUGGAGGAAGGAGGAGGAGGAGGACGAGUUAUAGUGCCAGAAAGAGGAGGAGGAGGAAGGGAGCCAGUGAUGCCAACCAGUCCCAGCAAAAUGUCCUUCCUGGAGUAUUACCAACAGCUCAACUUGGACCGGUACCUUCAGGCUGAGAGGCGGCAGAGCUCUGGAGGCUGCAUGGCGUCAGCAUGGCGGGUGAUCUCGUUCUUCCUGGUGGUGUUCGUGCUGCCCACGGUGCUCAUCUCCCUGCCGCUGUACGCACGCUACCACCUCUACCACACCAGGCACAUCCCCAUGACGGAGACGGACACGCGGGCACUCGACUACGCCGUGUCUUCCUUCUGGUGCCAGGGCCAGCGCGUCAGCACCAACGGCACCCUGGACGCAUACCUGGUCUCCGGCACCCCCAAGCUGAAGGAGGAGCGGCGCCACGUCACCCUCAAGAGGAUGCUCACCCUGCAGCACGAUGACAUUGAGUACUGGGGCGUGUACCUCCUCCAGGGGUCGUCCUUCACUGUGUCCUCAACUGCCAGGUGGCCAGGCGCGGUGUUACUGGUGGCCAAGGGAGAGGAGAACCUGCGCAAGUGUUUCUACCGAGAGGACAAACUGGAGGCGCAGCUCAACGAGGGACCAGUCAAGACAGUCUACAAGAGUCCGCCUGACGUGGAUGACCUGCCCGGGGAGAUGGUGGUGGAGGAGGAGCACCACGGGGAUGUCGGUGGAGGUGAGGUGUUCGACGGGGAAGAGGACGAGGUCUUACCGCUGACUAACCUGGGAAUGAGGCGAGAGAUGGAGGUGCCGAAGGUGGAGGUGGUGGAGGUGCCGCACCCUAAGCUUGGCCUGAGGAACAAGAGCGCCGAGGCACCCAAGCGGAAGAAUGGCAAGGGGAAGAAGGGCAGGAAGGGGAAGAAGAACCGGCAGAACAAGAACGAGACGCACCACCGACGCGCCAGGAGGUCCCAGGCUGUCGUGUCCUCCCUGCCCCCAGUACCCGUCACCUCCCCCACCCCCACACCACCCCCCGCCCUGCCCUCGCUGUCCCCCGGCAAGCUAGACAUGCUGCACCACUUCAAUGACACGCUGUCCGUCACCACCGGGAACUCCUCCUUCUCAUCCAGCGAGGAGUUCCUGGAGCAGUGCAAGGACUCCGUGCUGGUGGUGGACCUGACACCCUCGCUGGACUGGGAGUGGCGCCUCGACACUGACACCAUCCUGGCCACCAACUCCUGGACGGUGCCGGUGGACUCCUCAGACUACUACUACUUCAUCUUCACCUCGGACAACUCCAUCGAGCUGAACCACCUGGGAUUCCGCCUGGACCUGCAGCGCUCCACCUACGACACGGCUGCGGCGGUGGAGGCCUGCACCAACGCCACCGAGUGCAUCUUCCCGCUGGCCUUCACCGGGGGCCAGGCCGUGGUGGUGGAGGUGCCGGCCGCGGAGAGCCUCACCGACCUGCACUCCUUUGAGGUGACCACGGCGUGCCAGCCCAGGGUGCCGGUCUACAUGGUGUUCAUCCUGCUGGUGCCGUUCAUCAUCCUGCUCUUUGCCUUCCAGUAGCAGGCCAGCACCACUCAGGAUGGAGGUGCUAGCUGGGUGCCACGCCUCAGGCUAUGACAAACUGGCACUGGCAUCAGAGGGAGGAUGCCAACAGGCGUCCCCAUGCCUCCUAUGGGCGUGGGGACCGACAUCAAGGCAGAGCAGACAGGGCGGAGACGCAACAAAGUCUCUGGAAGGGACAACAAAGGCUCCACUGGUUGUCUGUGCCACUGGAAAAGCCUAAAGUGCAGCGCUUGUGCCAGUACAGCAUUGCAUCGACUGUCAAGUGGUUUAGUGGCCCUGAGCCCUGUCCUGCUGCUGCCCCGGCCUCACUGAUGCUAGUCAUUGCCUCAGCACUACUCAGGACGCUGCUCUUGGUCUUGAUUCUGGGGUGCAAAGGGGCGGAAAUGUUCUUUAGGACACACAAACACAGAGCCUGACCGAACUAGUGGGUGAAGGGAUGCCCAGAAACUAUAGAGUGAGCCGUGUUGUUGUACUAUAAAGACAGAACAAGCUAGUAGGUGAUUGGAUGCCCAGAAACAGUAUACAGUAAGCAGUGUUGUUUUACUAUACAGAACAAGCUAGUAGGUGAUUGGAUGCCCAGAAACAAUGUACAGUAAGCAGUGUUGUUCUUGCUAUGGACAGAAAAAGGGUUAUACAGAUGAAAACAGUGACAGAGUAAGCAGUUUUUAUGACAUGGACACAGAGAAAAGGGAUAAAUCAAUAAAAACAGUGAUAUGGUAACCAGUUUUUAUGCUAUAGAAACAGAAAGAAAGGGUUGAAUAGAAGAAAACAAUGCCUGUGUGAAUUUCUGCUCCUCCUGUAUAGAAAACCAGAAUGUUGAAAGAUGAAAAUGGUUCCUGAGAUGUCUUAUAGAAGGGCUUGAUAGACAGAUAGGUGAAAACAAUGCCUGUGUGACUCUGCUCCUCUUGUAUAGAAAACCAGAAUGUUGAAAGAUGAAAAUGGUUCCUGAGAUGUCUUAUAGAAGGGCUUGAUAGACAGAUUGAUGAAAACAAUGCCUGAGAUUUGCUACUCUGGUUAAGAAAAGCGGAUAUUGAGAAAGAAAGAUGAAAAUAUGGUCCCUCAGAUGUCUGAAAGUGUCUUGUAGAUGGAGUUCAGUCCCAGGAAGGAUGUUAAAAGUGGCGAUUACUUGAUACAGUGUUUAUAAAGCUUUGACAACUCGCUGGUGACCUUAUAGAAGAUACAGACAGAAUAGUAUAUGGUUCCAGAGGUGUCAAUUCUCCUCUGUGGAUGGAGUUCAGUUCCAGGAAGGAUGUUACAGUGGAGGUUUACUCAUUACAGCGUUUAUGAACCUUCCUGUCAACUUGCUUGGGACCUUAGAGAAGAUAGUGGCACUGUUAGAAGGGAGGAGAAAGGAUAUGUGGUCCCUGAGGUGUCUAAAGUGUCUUGUAGAUGAAGUUAAGACCCUGGAAUAAUGUAUAAGGUGACAGUUACUUGAUACAGCGUUUAUGAACCUUCCUGUCGACUUGCUUGGGACCUUAGAGAAGAUAGUGGCACUGUUAGAAGGGAGGAGAAAGGAUAUGUGGUCCCUGAGGUGUCUAAAGUGUCUUGUAGAUGAAGUUAAGACCCUGGAAUAAUGUAUAAGGUGAUAGUUACUUGAUACAGCGUUUAUGAAGCUUCCUUAUGGCUUGCUGGGACCUUAGAGAAGAAAAAAACAUUGUUGGAAGGGCAGGGAGAGGGAGUGAGAAGUGAAAUGUGGUUCUGGAGGUGUCUUAUGUGUCUUGUAGAGGAAGUUACAACCCACAAAUGAUGUAUAAGGUGACAGUUACUUGAUACACUGUUUAUGAUGCUUCCUUAUGACUUGCUGGGACCUUAGAGAAGAUAAAGACACUGUCAGAAAGGAAGGAAAUGGAAAGAAAAGGAGGGAUAAGCUUUGCCAUAGAGAAGAAAAGGACAGCAUUAGAAGGGAAAGGAAAGGGAAAGAGAAGGAGUGAUAAGCUUUGCUAUUGAAAAGAUAAGGACACUGUUAGAAGGGAAGGAAAAAGGGAAUGAAAAGAAAUAAUAAACUUUGCCAUAGAGAAGAAAAGGACAGCAAUAGAAGGGAAGAGAAUGAGAAAGAGAAGGACCAAGAAGCAGUGUUUACGAGCCUUCCUGAUGACUUGCUUGGGACACAGAGAAGUUAGACAGCGGGUGAAGGGAAGAGAGAGUGAUUGAGAAGGAGGGACAAUCUUUGCCAUAGAGAAGAUAAAGACACUGUUAGAAGGGAAGAGAAAGAGACUGAGAAGGACCAAGAAGCAGUGUUUACGAGCCUUCCUGACGACUUGCUUGGGACACAGAGAAGUUAGACAGCGGGUGAAGGGAAGAGAGAGUGAUUGAGAAGAAGGGAGAAUCUUUGCCAUAGAGAAGAUAAAGACACUGUUAGAAGGAAAGAGAAAGAGACUGAGAAGGACCAAGAAGCAGUGUUUACGAGCCUUCCUGACGACUUGCUUGGGACACAGAGAAGUUAGACAGCGGGUGAAGGGAAGAGAGAGUGAUUGAGAAGAAGGGAGAAUCUUUGCCAUAGAGAAGAUAAAGACACUGUUAGAAGGGAAGAGAAAGAGACUGAGAAGGACCAAGAAGCAGUGUUUACGAGCCUUCCUGACGACUUGCUUGGGACACAGAGAAGUUAGACAGUGUGUGAAGGGAAGGGAGAGUGAAUGAGAAGUGAUAAUCUUUGCCAUAGAGAGACUGCAUUAGAGUGAGAAGGCCCAAGAAAGCUUUGCCAUUACGUUACUGAACUCAACGAAGAGAGAAAACCUUUGUGAUAUUCUCUGUGGUUAUGUUUUUCUUUGUAAUUCUGUAGAGUAUUAAUUAUUUAAAUCUCCUCUUGUUACUGUUGUUUCCUGUAGACUUAGAUAGGCCAGGCAGUGAAGGGCUUGGCGGGGGGAUGUUAAGUGUGUGUGUGUGUGUGUGUGUGUGUGUGUGUGUGUGUGUGUGUGUGUGUGUGUGUGUGUGUUCUGGAUUCAUGUGUUCAUUAUAUUCCUGUUUCAUCACAUACAACAUACAACAUGCAAGAUACAGUUUAGCCAUACAACAUACAUUAUACAGGAACUCAACAGGUCACAGGUCAAGAGUGUAUAGUGUCUGUAUUAACUGUUCCUUAGGUAGUAUUCAGUAUAGGAGAGGAGAAAAGGUCAGGUCAGGUCAUCCACUUAGACACAGGGACAACACACGACUUACAGGAACUCAACAGGUCACAGGUCAAGAGUGUAUAUUGUGUGUAUUAACUGUUCCUUAGGUAGUAUUCAGUAUAGGAGAGGGAGGGUCAGGUCAGGUCAUCCAGAGGGACAUCACAGACCCAGAGUAGCCAAGGUGUUUCCUGCAUCAACAGAACACAACUGAAGACUGACUACUGUGUUUCAUCAUUAUCAAGAUCUCAUAGCCAUUCACUUUAUGUUAUUUUGGGUGCCUUUAACAGUGCCUUAUAUAAGUGUGUGGUCAAGACUGUUACUGCUGUGUGUGUGUGUGUGUGUGUGUGUGUGUGUGUGUGUGUGUGUGUGUGUGUGUGUCAUU